UACGGAGGGUGCAAGCGUUAUCCGGAAUCACUGGGUUUAAAGGGUGCGUAGGCGGUUUUAUAAGUCAGUCGUGAAAAGCUCCGGCUUAACCGGUAGUCGUGCGAUUGAUACUGUGAGACUUGAAUCAGGUUGAGGUAGGCGGAAUGUGGCAUGUAGCGGUGAAAUGCAUAGAUAUGCCAUAGAACACCGAUUGCGAAGGCAGCUUGCUGGACCUGUAUUGACGCUGAGGCACGAAAGCGUGGGGAGCAAACAGG
rnacentral:rRNA from 1 species